rnacentral:lncRNA from 1 species
AUUCAUAUAGAGAUAUAUUCCUUUAGUGCAAUACAGAUAGACAUUAUUAAUUAUUGUCUACCUAACACAAUUUAAAGAAGAAUUAUCAAUAAUUUACUCCGUCUUUUAUGGGAUUUUGUAGUCUAUCUUUAUCUUUUUUUUUUAAUUUUGAUUAAUAUGAUAUGAGUGAUUGUUUAGAAUGUUACUUUUGAUCCUUUAGAUGUUUGUAAUUUGAAUGAGUUUUAUUUAUUCCGUAGGUGGAAGGGUUUCUCCAGGUAGUUCUCCAAGUUCAGCGUCUGGUAGUGAAACAACAGCACCUAGUUGGAAUAAUAAUGGUCCAAUAAAUGAGGUAUCUCCAAGAUCAGCACCAUCAUCGCCAUCUAAAGGGAAGAGCUCAGCAUCAACCAUGUUCCCUAUUUCACCUGCAUCACUCUUUCUUCCCUUAUUAUUGCUACCUCUCUUCUCUCUGUUUUGAAUCAUUCAUUAUUUCAUCUUAUAGAUUUAGUCUAAUUAGUUAGUUAGUUAGUUACUUGAAAAGGACUAUAUGAUGUACAUGUUUUCUGGUUGAUUUAUGAGUUUUUAUAUACCAUUAUAUUGGAUCUCAUCUAUGCUUGCCUAUUUUUGUUUGAAAAUAAUGUUUUUGGCAUGUGUGGGCCUCUGGGUUAAUUCACCAUGGACAUAGAAUCAGCCUAUUUAACUUUUUAGGAUAAAACCAAUUGUUUAUUGGGCUUAUCUGUGAUCUCUUCUACUGGACCACUUGCAUGGGGGCCCAAAAGGAGAAGAUACUAGCAUAUAGUUCCAAAUCAUUUGUUCAAAAAAAUAAAAUAAUUUCUCCCAUCUACUUUCUAAUUGAUUAGAAAUGAUCGAUUAUCUAGAUUCUAGAUGCAUAUUCUCCCAUUGGCUAAGCUAGUUGAUUCUCCAUUGAAGGAGAAGAGUUAGAAAAUGGAGUAUCACAGAGACAUGAUCGAUGUUUGGCGCAAUGGCAUUACAACUUGGGGCCGAAACAUAUAGUUAUUCCAAAUCACAAUUAUCCAAAAAUUAAAGGGUCCUUUGACAGUUUGACUAGUUGCUCCAUUUUGUCUUUACUACUGUUCAUUCUUAAUUGACAAAUAUAUGCCGCUAAUUUUAUUCCUUUAAUUUAUUUCACUUAUUAUUAAUUUUCUUUUUAAGGUAUAGUAGUAAAGCCAUCCUGUGUGAUCAAGUGUAACACUUUAAUUAAACUCAACUUGGCGAACAUAAUGUCGGCUAUGGCAUUAUUAUAUUAAUUUUGCUCAUAUCACAUAAUUUUUCUCAUUGGUUAUAGUCUUAUAGAUAUCUACAUACCUCUCCAAAUUUAGCACAAAGUUUACAAUAAAAGAAGUUAACUAAUAUUACCUAUUUAAAAGUUGGUUCCUAUAUUUCUUUUCAACUGCUCUGCUUGUACAUCAUGGGCUGCAAAUGUUUAUUUUAUUUAUAUCUUUAUUUUUUUUAUGUUUAUGGAGACAUGAGCUAAAAUCCCAAAGGUGGCAAAUAGUUUCCAAUGGUUAUUAGGAGCAUAAAUAUAUAUCUCGAUAAUCCUGGCAAUUCUAUACACAUUAUUAUCCAGCUGGAUUUGUCUAAAAUUAAAGGUUGGCUCUAAGGUUUACUGUGUGUCCUUUCUACAACAUACAAGAACAUGUUCUUAGGGAACCAUGUCAACAAUAUGCAUCUGAAUAUUUUUAUAGUACAUCAUUAUAAAAUGAAUAUCAUCAUGACUUGUUACUAUUAGCAGAUUAGUGUUUGUCAUUGAUUUUUGUCCAUGAUAAAAUACUGAAGAAUGAUACUAUCACUAACUCCAAAAUGUUAUGCAUGGUUUUUAUGGUCAAUAAUUAAACUAUAUGUAGAUCUUGUGGCCUCUAGGUUACUAUAUAUAUUAUGUAAUUUCACCAACCAAAGGGUCCAGGUUGUAUAUAUAUUAUAUAUAUGUAUAAGGACUUGGGAAGAAACGUAACGCUUAGAAAGGCACAAAAACUCCGUAAUGAUAAAUUGAUAAUAUAACUUAUUUUCCUAAAAAAUAACAUUUGAUUUUGAAAAUAAUUAAGAUGAGUAUGAAAUUUGAAAUCUGUAUCAAAUUCAAAUUAGUGGCUAACAACGCUGGCAUGAUGACACGUAUUCCAUGUAUGGUGGCAGAACCCUUUAAAUACGAGACCUUCUCUCUCUUUUUCACAGUCAUCACUCUCUACCACCAAUGGCAGCCAAGCUUUCACUUUCGUUCAUCAUUCUGUGUGUUGUUGGUGCCGUCAUGUGUGACGGCGCUCGUUCACCGUCACCUUCCGUGGACUGUUCGAAUUUGGUGCUAACAAUGGCGGAUUGUUUGUCAUUCGUCACGAAUGGGAGUACCACAACGAAGCCAGAAGGAACAUGCUGCUCUGGAUUGAAGACUGUACUCAAAACUGCACCAGACUGUCUCUGUGAAGCUUUCAAAAGUAGCGUUCAGUUUGGUGUCGUCUUGAAUGUCACCAAGGCCUUAGCUCUUCCUUCUGCUUGCGGUCUCUCUGCUUCUUCUGCCACUGACUACUGUGGAUGUAAAUUCUCGACUCGUAAUUAUUUAUUUAUUAUUAAUAUUAAUAUUUAGAUUAAUUAUGAUAAUUAACGCGGUUAUGGUGUUUUUGUUUUGCAGUGAGUGGAGCGCCUGCUGCUUCUCCUGGAGGUUUCUCUUUUGCCUCGUUUUGUUAUUAUGUGACACGUUAUAUUUUGUCAUGUUUCUGCAACUUUCUCAUAUCAAUCUUAAUAGUAAUACUUUAUCUUAUGUCAUGUAUAAAAUCUUUCUUCUUUUGUUGUUGCUAGCUGUUAAUCAUAAUUCAUAUAGAGAUAUAUUCCUUUAGUGCAAUACAGAUAGACAUUAUUAAUUAUUGUCUACCUAACACAAUUUAAAGAAGAAUUAUCAAUAAUUUACUCCGUCUUUUAUGGGAUUUUGUAGUCUAUCUUUAUCUUUUUUUUUUAAUUUUGAUUAAUAUGAUAUGAGUGAUUGUUUAGAAUGUUACUUUUGAUCCUUUAGAUGUUUGUAAUUUGAAUGAGUUUUAUUUAUUCCGUAGGUGGAAGGGUUUCUCCAGGUAGUUCUCCAAGUUCAGCGUCUGGUAGUGAAACAACAGCACCUAGUUGGAAUAAUAAUGGUCCAAUAAAUGAGGUAUCUCCAAGAUCAGCACCAUCAUCGCCAUCUAAAGGGAAGAGCUCAGCAUCAACCAUGUUCCCUAUUUCACCUGCAUCACUCUUUCUUCCCUUAUUAUUGCUACCUCUCUUCUCUCUGUUUUGAAUCAUUCAUUAUUUCAUCUUAUAGAUUUAGUCUAAUUAGUUAGUUAGUUAGUUACUUGAAAAGGACUAUAUGAUGUACAUGUUUUCUGGUUG